UACAGAGGGGGCAAGCGUUAUUCGGAAUUAUUGGGCGUAAAGGGCGCGUAGGCGGUUUUUUAAGUCAGAUGUGUAAUCCCCGAGCUCAACUUGGGAACUGCCCUUGAAACUGGAAGGCUAGAAUCCUGGAGAGGCGAGUGGAAUUCCGAGUGUAGAGGUGAAAUUCGUAGAUAUCCGGAAGAACACCAGUGGCGAAGGCGACUCGCUGGACAGGUAUUGACGCUGAGGUGCGAAAGCGUGGGGAGCAAACAGGAUUAGAUACCCGAGUAGU
rnacentral:rRNA from 1 species